rnacentral:rRNA from 1 species
UACAGAGGUCUCAAGCGUUGUUCGGAUUCAUUGGGCGUAAAGGGUUCGUAGGCGGCGCGGUAAGUCGGGUGUGAAAUUUCGGAGCUUAACUCCGAAACUGCAUUCGAUACUGCGGUGCUUGAGGACUGGAGAGGAGACUGGAAUUCAUGGUGUAGCAGUGAAAUGCGUAGAGAUCAUGAGGAAGACCAGUGGCGAAGGCGGGUCUCUGGACAGUUCCUGACACUGAGGCACGAAGGCCAGGGGAGCAAACGGG